rnacentral:lncRNA from 1 species
UGCAGCACCACAUCAAGACGUGUGCGGGCUGACCAACUCCUGUAGGAGCCGAAGGCACUGUGGUCCCCAAGGAUCCCUUGGUCCCAGGGAGCUCAUCUGGGUGAAGGUGGUGGCUAGGGCUUCCAGCCUGCUGCCUCUCCCGCAGGGGGCGCCGGCAGGAUCUGGAGCGGAGCUGCAGGGAGCAGAGGGGGCGCCAGGUUGCAGAAGAGGCCAUGGGCGAGAGGAGCUGCCCACUUCUGCCGCCGCUGCUGCUGCUGGCGCUGCUGUGGCCCCCAGGACUGGAGAAGCAGGACUCGCAGGAAGAGAACACGCAGUCAGGUAAGGCGCCCCCGAAGAGCCCCCUGCGCGGUGCGCCGGCGUCGGGUGCAGAAGAAGGUGCGAGGACGCCUCAUCUCUCCCUCU